UAACUGUGCAAAGGUAGCAUAAUCAAUAGUUUUUUAAUUGAAGGCUUGUAUGAAAGGUUGGACAAAGAAUAAUCUGUUUUUAUUUUUUCUUUUGAACUUGACUUUUGAGUGAAAAGGCUCAAAUAAAUUUGAGGGACGAUAAGACCCUAUAAAUCUUUAUAUUAAGUUAUUUUUUUAAUGGUUUAAUUUAGUAAAAAAGUAAUAAGAUAAGAAAUAUUUUGUUGGGGCGACGAAAAUAUAAAUUUUAACUGUUUUAAAAUUUAAACAAAAUUAUUUGAGUGUGUAAUAGAUCCUUUAUGUAGAUUAAAAAAUUAAGUUACUUUAGGGAUAACAGCGUUAUUUUUUUUGAGAGUUCAUAUCGAAAAAAAAGUUUGCGACCUCGAUGUUGAAUUAAAAUUUCUCUAUAGUGCAGAAGCUAUGGUAGAGAGUCUGUUCGACUUUUAAAUUUUUACG
rnacentral:rRNA from 1 species